rnacentral:tRNA from 1 species
UGCAGUGUAGCUUAAUGGCAAAGCCCCAAGCUCAUAACUUGGUUGAUGCGGGUUCAACUCCCACCACUGCGACCA